rnacentral:rRNA from 1 species
CAGCCGCCACGGUAAUACGUAGGGUGCAAGCGUUAAUCGGAAUUACUGGGCGUAAAGCGUGCGCAGGCGGUUAUAUAAGACAGAUGUGAAAUCCCCGGGCUCAACCUGGGAACUGCAUUUGUGACUGUAUAGCUAGAGUACGGCAGAGGGGGAUGGAAUUCCGCGUGUAGCAGUGAAAUGCGUAGAUAUGCGGAGGAACACCGAUGGCGAAGGCAAUCCCCUUGGCCUGUACUGACGCUCAUGCACGAAAGCGUUGGGAGCAAACAGGAUUAGAUACCCCUGUAGUCCCUGUCUCUUAUAC